GACGAACGCUGGCGGCGUGCCUAAUACAUGCAAGUCGAACGCUUCUUUCCUCCCGAGUGCUUGCACUCAAUUGGAAAGAGGAGUGGCGGACGGGUGAGUAACACGUGGGUAACCUACCCAUCAGAGGGGGAUAACACUUGGAAACAGGUGCUAAUACCGCAUAACAGUUUAUGCCGCAUGGCAUAAGAUUGAAAGGCGCUCUCGGUUGUCGCUGAUGGAUGGACCCGCGGUGCAUUAGCUAGUUGGUGAGGUAACGGCUCACCAAGGCCACGAUGCAUAGCCGACCUGAGAGGGUGAUCGGCCACACUGGGACUGAGACACGGCCCAGACUCCUACGGGAGGCAGCAGUAGGGAAUCUUCGGCAAUGGACGAAAGUCUGACCGAGCAACGCCGCGUGAGUGAAGAAGGUUUUCGGAUCGUAAAACUCUGUUGUUAGAGAAGAAGAAGGACGUUAGUAACUGAACGUCCCCUGACGGUAGCUAAACAGAAAGCCACGGCUAACUACGUG
rnacentral:rRNA from 1 species